rnacentral:rRNA from 1 species
CACAUGCAGUCGAGCGGUAACAGAUCUAGCUUGCUGGAUGCUGACGAGCGGCGGACGGGUGAGUAAUGCAUAGGAAUCUGCCCGAUAGUGGGGGAUAACCUGGGGAAACCCAGGCUAAUACCGCAUACGUCCUACGGGAGAAAGGGGGCUCCGGCUCCCGCUAUGGGAUGAGCCUAUGUCGGAUUAGCUAGUUGGUGAGGUAACGGCUCACCAAGGCCACGAUCCGUAGCUGGUCUGAGAGGAUGAUCAGCCACAUCGGGACUGAGACACGGCCCGAACUCCUACGGGAGGCAGCAGUGGGGAAUAUUGGACAAUGGGGGCAACCCUGAUCCAGCCAUGCCGCGUGUGUGAAGAAGGCCCUCGGGUUGUAAAGCACUUUCAGCGAGGAAGAACGCCUAGCGGUUAAUACCCGCUAGGAAAGACAUCACUCGCAGAAGAAGCACCGGCUAACUCCGUGCCAGCAGCCGCGGUAAUACGGAGGGUGCAAGCGUUAAUCGGAAUUACUGGGCGUAAAGCGCGCGUAGGUGGCUUGAUAAGCCGGUUGUGAAAGCCCCGGGCUCAACCUGGGAACGGCAUCCGGAACUGUCAAGCUAGAGUGCAGGAGAGGAAGGUAGAAUUCCCGGUGUAGCGGUGAAAUGCGUAGAGAUCGGGAGGAAUACCAGUGGCGAAGGCGGCCUUCUGGACUGACACUGACACUGAGGUGCGAAAGCGUGGGUAGCAAACAGGAUUAGAUACCCUGGUAGUCCACGCCGUAAACGAUGUCGACCAGCCGUUGGGUGCCUAGCGCACUUUGUGGCGAA